GCCCGCCUAGCUCAGUUGGCAGAGCGCAAGGCUCUUAAUGACAUGCAAGCAGUCGAAGCCAGACUGGUGGUACCUUGUGGUCCGGGGUUCGAGCCCCCGGGUGGGCG